UUCCUCACUCAAAGCACCGGGAGGGGAGGGGGAUCGCGGCAUGAUAGAGUGGAUGAUCACUUUCCCCGCGCUGUGUGUGUGUCCGUGUGUGUGUGUCGUGGCCAGAAAACUCGAGACAAAUUCCGGCACAUUGAAAAAAAAUAUUUUUUAUUGCCACUAUACACCGUGCUACAUGAUGCUUAGAAGGUCGUUGAAGCAUCAAACAUGUUCAAAUUAAAAAAUAUUAGAUUAGUGUUAGACGUUCUCCUACGCUUGUUUGAAAUAGGCUUCUUCACCCUCAAUUGGCAGGGGCAUCGAAUGGUCUCAUCAGCAGCGGCACGAAAUAAAAUAAACCAUCAAUACACCGAUAACACUUUAAAUCCCAAAAUGAACCAGCUUCUCCCGCAUCGUCAAGGUCGUCACACAAUAAAUAAAUGCUAUACCCACCAAAUACAAUACACAACCGCAAUGUACAUAUAUACCAACGCAUACACACAAUCAGCUGGCGGUGGAAGGCACGGGCUGAAGCGCAAGUAAGGCAAGGCAGGGAGGGGAAUGGGAGUGAGAGGAAGAGGAGGAAGGAAUGUGGGCGGCCAAUAUUUUUGAAUUUUUCGACCGUUUUUUUUGCUCCGCCGUCUGAAAUAGUUCAUCCAUUCCUUCAGCAGAUGGCGCUCGUUCCGCACCUAAAAACUGCAAGAAAUACGCCGGCUAUCGUAGUUUUGGCUGAAGUCUAGCGUAUUUUUUUGCGUAUUUUUUGACGCAAAACUACGCAAAAAACUACGCAGAAAACUGCUCGAAUUUGCGCAGCGGGUAGUAUCACCGUGGACUGCAGAAAACUACCUGCACUAGAACAGAGCGCUGGUAUGGUCAAAUGUGUGCAUGUGUGUACUUGCUCCACUGAAAGCCGGUAUCGCACCAGAUUUCGGGUGUCGCCUUCCCAACCAGCAAAACCGAAGCUAUUGGAAAACUUUCCUGUGUGCCAAAGCGAGAGAGCAUGUCUUCUUUCUCUAGAUUUUGGACGGCACAACGCCGAUCGUGUGGUCUAUGAACGAAAAACGGGAGAAGGGGAAACCGAUAUCCUUCGAGUGACACACAUGCAUGCAUCUGCAUGCGUAUUCCGCUGAACCGAGACUACACAUCUCUCUCGAUCUCCCAUGAUUUUUCUGCUAUCGCGCUCAUCCGGGUGUUAGGCAUCCUCAGUCUGUCCAGAACUUUCACUGUGGAAGGAUGUGUUGGAGUGAUGUGUGAUUUCUUGUGCCCCGUACUUUGCUCAUUUACGUUUUGUGCCGUGUUCCUUUUUCUUCAAUUAUGGAAUGAUUUAUCCUUAUAAAUUUCUAAGGUAAGUUUCUUAUCCUCGUUUGUGCUUCAAUGGAUACAUUCAACUAACUCUUGUCGUCUAAAAAGUUACAAGUGCACGCGCAUGUUAAUCGACGGUUGCCAACAUCCCGCAAAUCGAUCGAAAGAAGGAAAACGGUGUCCGGUUUUAAAAUAUAAAGAUUUCAUUACAGCUCUUUCGUAGAAGAGCGCACUUCAAUGACGCCUAGGAUACGGCUAAACAUGCGCAGCACCAGUCCGUGACGUCAUUUCCAGACAGGCGCCAGCUGAACACGCGCAGCACCAGUCGAGGAUAUCCUAGCGCAGAGGGUAGAAGGAAGAACGAGAGGAAGGGUAAUAGAAAGCAACCGCAGCAUUUGGAAGGGGUGAAGCAUCCUGCCGUAUACAGAGUGUGAGUGUGCCAAAACGCAUGUGGAAAGAGUAACACCAAUAAAUAGCAUGCGAAAGUGUGCAUAAAGCAAAAAGAAAAAGCGUCACUACUACAACCAGCAAUCCGAAAAUAUAAGGGGAGGGAUAAAUACAAAUGUAUGCGUAAGCAGGACCAGCAAUCCAAGCAUUUGAAUGUGUGCGUCGGUUUGUGCCGUACUGAAAGUUUUUACUUUAGCUGCUGCUAGUGUAAAAACGUAAGGAAAGCUUAAAGUAAAAAUUUUUUACACGGGGCGCCUUCGGAAAUUGUUGGCUGGGUUGUGCGUGUGGGUGUGUUAUUGUCACAGCACACUCGUUCGUCAUUUUUUUUCGUUUUUUCGCUUGAGCCACUCGAUUUCGUUCUUCGCUGAUUUUGGCACCCAACAGUCAAAAGCCGAAGAUUUUAUAUUGACCUUUCGUUUUUUCUAUCUGUCUCUCGCUCUAAUUUGAGUGAUUUUCCCUUCGUGAGUAUCCACGAGCUCCCUCGUGUGGUUGUUGUUGUUGGAAGUUGAAACCGAACCCCCUUCGUGCGCUGCCAAAAUCAGCGAAGAACGAAAUCGAGUGGCUCAAGCGAAAAAACGAAAAAAAAAAAUGACGAACGAGUGUGCUGUGACAAUAACACACACACACGCACAAGGCGACACCCGAAAUCUGGUGCGAUACCGGCUUUCAGUGGAGCAAGUACACACAUGCACACAUUUGGCCACACCAGCGCUCUGUUCUAGUGCAGGCAGUUUUCUGCAGUCCACGGUGAUACUACACACAGCCACGCACUUGGUGAUACACGCUGUGUGGUGCGGUGCGGUGGACGUUCAGAAUUCAAUGGUGCAAAUACACACAUGCAUACCAUCUUGGCGACACACGCUCUGCGGUGCGGUGAGAUUUGUGUUCUGUGUCCAGUGGUGCAAAUAUACACACACACGCUCUUGGCUACACACGCAAUACGGCGCGGUUGGCUUGGCAGAAGCGCAUACACACAUUCACGCAGUAGGCUUUACUUUCAGUCCAGUGAGGUUGGUGCUUGUGUGGUGUUUCAGCGCUUGGUAGUCAGCGGAUAAACCCCGUGAAAAAUGGAGAUUUAUCUGAUUUAAGGUAAGUAAAAGUGAUUAAAAUUAUCAACCAACAUCCCCCCUUCUAAUUAAUAUCAUUUUUCUUCCAUUUCAUGUGUGUUUCACGACGAACGGAGACAACAAAACCUGUGGCUGUGUCGUAGUGUUGGCGUAUUUGGCCCGUACAGUGUAGUUAAAGGAACUAGGCGCAACAGUGAGGAAGAGCAGAAAGUGUUGUGACGAUUUUGUGAUUUUAUUCACUGUGCGAGUGUGAAAGGGUGUUUUAAAAUAAUGUGCGUUAAUGUGAAAUUAUGUUCAGUGUUCGUAGUGCAUGUGUUUUUGAUUUUUGUAAAACUUGUUAGAUAAAUGAUAUUAAUUUCAAUAAAUAGAUUUGUUGUGAUAUAAUUCUGUGCACUGUAUCAUUUCGGAAAGAAAUCCUGGCAAAAAAGAGGGAGGGAACUAAUUAAACGAAGGUUCGUGCAGACCCCCGUUCGGGUUUUGCUUCGGCUUCGGGUUUGCUUCGGCUUCGGGAGCCGACAAAUCACUUGAAUAAUUUCGCCAACUCAAGUUCUUUUUCAAGCGCGUAUUCAAGCGAUCUCUGAGUGCUGGUGCCCGGUGGGCAGCGCACGAAGGGGGUUCGGUUUCAACUUCCAACAACAACAACCACACGAGGGAGCUCGUGGAUACUCACGAAGGGAAAAUCACUCAAAUUAGAGCGAGAGACAGAUAGAAAAAACGAAAGGUCAAUAUAAAAUCUUCGGCUUUUGACUGUUCCCAACCAACCAAACCGAGCUCUUUCGAAGCAAAUCCUUCGUGAUGAGCGAGAAAGCAUGUCACGCAUCUCACGUGUUGCCAUGCGAACAGAUGUGCGUGUAGAUGUGUGAGUGCGCGGAGAAAAAUUGAUGGAUGACGAAUGGAGGAAGGGGAGGAGCUUCACUCUGUCGAAGCAUCUGAAGGGGGGCCGAACGCUCUCUUCACAUUUUGCGAAGAAUCAGUUUAACUCAAACGCUUGGCAAAGAGGAUAUACUACUUUGAGGCACUAAAUAUUUCAGGCAAUGGAGUCUUGGUCUAUUAGUAUUAGUAUAAAUUAUUUCCCUUACCCCAUUUAUGAAUUAAUUUAAAGGAAUAAACAUUAAUCUGAGUAAAAUUUCAAAAGUCACUUUUAGCAAAAAACUUUUUCCAAAUGUGUUUUGAAAUUCUGAAUCGAUCUUGUAAAGACGGUUUUUUCAUACAAUGCGUACUUUUUAAGAUAUUUGGAAAAGUACGGUUCAUAGGGUGCGCGGAUGAUAUACUAGCAAUGCUAUUACAAUGAAAUGCUAUUCCGCUCUAUGAAAUUUUCAGCUGAGCGAUUUGGUCUGUUUACGUUAGAACCGCUCCAUUAUUAUUGCGCCUUUUACGUCCUCACGCGCGAAUUCACAAAUAGUUAAAGUGUUAGGCCCGCUUGUGAUGAACAGUAGAUUCACCUGCUACCAUGUUUCAAUUCUCUGAUUAAAUCGCACGUAAUAAAUAAAUCGAAUAUCUCUCCUUCCAAUUUCAAUUAAAAACACAUAACCACUGCACAUAAGGUAGGAAGAUAGAUGAGAGGAGGAGGAGGAGGAGGGGCUAUAAACACGUACGUAAAUAAAAGGGGGCAGGGCGCGCGUGUGAGCGAGAAAGCGGCAUCAUACGAGAGAUUUUUUUCUUUCUCUUUUGUAGCAUUUUGGCUAAACACCCGAGCCUAACUUCGGUAGGAACUGCCUAUCAAAGUUGAUACACCUUCGGUAGAGAACUUCUAUCGAAGGUAUAUCGAAGCAAAUUUACUUCGAAAGAGCACGGUUUGGUUGGUUGGGUUGGGGAGCGUGUCCAACGGUUACGACGAACGGCCGAACCGUUCUUAGCUAACACACACGUACACACGUUCGCUUAACGGUGUCGUACGGUCUGUUUACGUGGUGCAGUCCUCUUCUAUGGUGCAGCGUUGAUAUGCCUACUCAUUGGCAUAUAACUAUAGAGUUCUGAAAAAAAUAACAUACUGUAGUACCCUGGAGAUUUGACCCCUAAUUAGACCAUAGUGCCGGAUCGGAAUAUAACCAUCACCGCACAACUGUGCGAUAAUCCGAAUGUCAAAAAUAAAGAUUAUUCGUUUACGGAUCGUUGUACUGACAACACCUUCAGCCUUCUGUUAAUUCUUCUGCCUUGCGAUUUUGUGCCUUUUAUAAGUUCAACGUUUAGUUCAAAUUAGUAAAAUUCGAGGUUUAAAAUACCAAUUGUUAUAAAUAUACAUGGAAAGAUUUCAUUGUAUUUUUACAUACCUUUAGAUGUUAAACUAUCAUUUUCUGUAAUCAAACAUUUUGUUUUUAAUCAAAUUACACUUACAAAAACUAAACAAUACACACCUGUUGGUAAUUCUAUGAACCGUGCGUUGUCUACGUAAUUGCACACAAACACACACACACACACACACACACACACACACACACACACACACACACACACACACACACACACACACACACACACACACACACACACACACACACACACACACACACACACACACACACACACACACACACACACACACACACACACACACACACACACACUCACACACUCACACACACACACACACACACACACACACACUCACACACACAGACACACACACACACACAAACAAACAAACAAACACACACACUCACACACACACACACACACACACAAACAAACACAAACACAAACACACACACACACACACACACACACACACACACUCACACUCACACACUCACACUCACACACACACAAACACAUACACACACACACACACUCACACACACACCUUAACACGUUGUCUGCCACGUCAGCCACUAUGUGGCUGACGGGUUUUUUCCGAUCGGGCCAC